GUUCAAAAUAUACUUGCAUUUUAAACUUUUUUUUCCCCAGAAAGAGUGAAAAAGAAAGUCCUUCUAAGCAGAGGCUUUUAAGAUUGCUAAAACUGCAAAGAUAAGAAGUAUAAGACCUUUCCUGGCAUGGUAAAGAGGAUUCUUGGAGGAGGAAGAGCAUGUGACAAGGCAUGUGAGGAAGGCCUGAAGCUCAGUCCCACACCAGCCAGCUCAUCACUGAUGAUAAAGUCAGUCCACCCUGAGCAUUUCGGUGACCACACGCCCCUAGCAAGCAUUUGAAUUGUAACUGUCGUGUCCAUUCUGCUUGUUGAAUUGGUAUAAGACUGGUGGUAUAGAAAUAAUCGGAAGGCCUUGUUAAAGCUACAGCUCUGUGG
rnacentral:lncRNA from 12 species